rnacentral:misc_RNA from 1 species
UCCCAAAAUUAGAUUUAUAUGAUUAUCAGCAAACUGGAAGGAAGACGAUUAAAGAACUACUACAUUUGUUUCUCCGUUUUUCGUGUCAGAGAUUAAUGUAAGUACAAAUCACAUUUCAACUAAAAUAUGCAGCAAUCAAUCCAUCUUGUUUUCUGUUUUUUCCUACUACACUUUGGUCAAAUCUGGCAAAAGCUCAGUCGGCUCUUGGGCUGCUGCCACUUGCUGAUGGCCUUUUCCCCGAAUAUUUCUGCUUUCCAAGGUUGAAAGGAAUGUAUCUGUAUUUAAUCAUGUGUGUAAUUUGUCGCCUCAUGGUAAGGACAAAUAGAACAAUCCAGUAGCACAACAAUAUAGGCCAGAACACAGGAACAUCAAAUAGGGAGAAGAAAGUCAUGACAAAUGCCACACAGAAAGCCUUUGUUAUGGCAUACCAGAACUUGAACUCUGGGAGGCGACGUAUGAAAGGCUUGAAUUCAUCUGAACCUUUAGUUGGUAACAUAGGUCCAUCCGAAGGUUCCAGCUCAGGGUCAACAAGAGGUGACAGGAAACCAAUCAGCAAAUUAAGAAUGUAGAUGCCCAAUCCAUAGGUAACAACAUAGAAUCCUUGAACAUAAUAAACCCGCAGAGCAUAAAGCAAUGCUAAGACAAAAGUUCCAAUCCACCUAUAUGUAGCAUGAGGAGUAGUUUUAUCUAAAUAGUAUUGGAAAAGUUUUGAAAGUUCAUGCCUCCGCUGGUUCAAUGCUGUAGCCGCUGAGGCACCAUCACCUCCAACACCCUCCAUAGAAACUCAACUUCACAACCCUUUCAGUGAGUAAAGAGAUUUAGAGGGUUGAAUAGAGAGGG